UUUUCUUGUCUCCACUGGGUUGACUCACAAAUGUCUUUUUAUAACAGGUUAUUGUGAUUGCAUUUUCUGCUUACAAAACCUCCUUCUGUAAAAUAUGGUGAAUUUGCAUUCCCAGUUUGUUAUGUGCCUGCUGCUGUUCCUGGUGGGCCUGCAAUGUUCACAGGGAGAAGAGAAGAGAAGAGGAGCUUUUUGCAGUGCUCUGUGUGAUGGGCAGAGAAGAGAAGGUUUAACUCAGCAAUCAAAUCAGGCUCUGGGGUGCCCAGGAUCCAGCCCAUGCUCUCAGGGCAUGAAUAAAAGAGCAGUGUAAGGAGCUGCUCUUCUUUGUUGCCGGGAUUGCUGCUCCCAUAUGAAGUUCUCUCUCGAUGGG